CCCCCAGCUUCCGCGCCCCGCCCCCCAGCACGGCGAAGGAGACUUCGGGGUCGCAGCGCCAGGCGAAGGGCACUCGUGAUGGGCGUGUCCGAGACGCUGAGCCACCGUGGUUGACAAGUUCUUGUCGUUGCCAUGGCGUUCCGCGACGUGUGGAAGCGGAACCGCGUGCUGAUCGUGAUGGGCGCUGGCCUCGUGUCCGUCCACUUCGGCUGGUACCGUAUGCAGGGCAACCACGCGUUCCAGGGGUACGGCGUCACGGCCGGGCCGCCGCCGCCGCCACACGGCCUCGCAGAGCAUCAGAGCGGUGUGGGCGGCCUGCCCUCGGCGAAGCCGUCCACCUAGCGGAGUAAGAGCGACGUCCACCUGCAUAGGGCUUUGAAGCGCGCCCGAGGGUCGUGGUGGCGGUGGUGGUGAGGAAAAACGUGGAGCAGAGCGACCCGAGGGGGAACUGGAGCGGGGAGCUGUCGGCAAAACCUGGACUGCUCUAGCGCCUGGACUGCUGUAGCGCCUGGACUGCUGUAGCGCCUGGACUGCUGUAGCGCCUGGACUGCUGUAGCGCCUGGACUGCUGUAGCGCCUGGACUGCUGUAGCGCCUGGACUGCUGUAGCGCGGAGCAGGCAGUGGAGAGGAUGUGGCAAUGUGACGCUCCCACACAAGUGGGGACGCUUCUCCGGGUUAAGACUUUUGUUAUUUCAACCGGCAACAAUCUGCGCUGCAACAUUGCGUACUCGUGGGCUCUCCGUGGCUGGCUUUUUCACGACUUUGGGGUGACACUCUUGUAAAGGCGUCCUAAACGCUGUUUUGAUGCCGUCGAAAUUAAUGCAGCCGUGUUGGCUUGUUGGCCUAAAACAAGGCUGCGCGCACUUCAACGGCGGUGUGGUGAUGUCAUGCAAGGCAUGAUGGGAGGACUAAUUCAAUUUAUUGGUCGCACUCACAUCUUUUGCCAUCUGCAAAUCGCCUUUUGUGUGUACUAUUAUCAUUUUUACGUUGGGUUACAUAAAUGUGGUUUAUAUUGGGUUGCAUCCCCCCUUUUAAAGCAUCCAGAAACAAAUGUUCGUGGGUGUCGGUCAUUUUUUUAAAAUAUUUGCUCUGUGAUAUUUUGGGAGAUUGGCACAGAAACUGAAACAUCGAGGUUGGUUAAUUUUCAAAUCUGCGGUCGCGUUUGGAUUCCAGUCUCCUUUCCAACUUCUCGACAUUGUUGGUGGCCGAGGUUCAAAGAAAGUUCCCCGCUUCUAACCCCCACACUUUCUUGGCCGACGGUGAUACAUGUUGGCUUUCAGACUGUUGUUCCAGAUCGAGCCAAUAAACUUGACUUCAGUCAACUCCUGAUUAUCCGGGGUGAUUGGUGGGGGGCGUGGAUAAAAUAAAAAAACAGAUAUUGGAAACCAAUGAGGCUGUACAAUAUAUUUAUUACUUCCCAAUGGAGAAGGGAGGCGAUAAAGACGUUGAGUGCAUGGUCUGUUUUUAUUGACUGUGUGCAUGUUGUCUUUCGCGGCAUAUUUAGACAAUUGUGGUAAUCGGAGGUGCGGGGGCAGGAUAAACUAAAGAUAAAGCAGUUCUAAAGAAAUUAGUUUUAAAUCUAGAUUAUUUAAAAGUGCAAAGCUCCAGUGGCUUCCUAAUAUGGUUAGAGCGGUCCAGAUGGCCGCAGAAGCGCAUCUGAAGCGCGCGUUGCGGUGACCGCCGUCUUUGAUAGCCAAACAAAAAGCCGCUGCGCAAACUCUGCCACUAUAAACCAGAUCGCUGCUGCUGCUGCCACGGCCAUCUUGAUUGUGGUGUCAUGGGGCAACCGAGUCACGAGUCAGGGGCAGCGGUGACAGGAGCGGCACAUGUACAUAAUCACUUUAAGAUGUUUUCUUGUUCAUGUUUUUGUUUGUUGCGGUUGCACCCGAUUCAAGAGCCGAAUGGCUCACAGGGCUAUACCAAAUAAAUGGAAAUGGAAUGGAUGUAAAAGUGUUUUACGGUUAAUCUAUUAUCUGGGUAGUCUGCCCGUGAAUUAUUGAGAUAAUUGUUUGCCUGUGUGCUAAACACCAGUCCUAGAAUCCUUCUGGAUCAUCUUUGGGAUUUUACAUCAUUCACGAUGGUCUAUCGCUAGUGUAGUGUAGUGUGUCACACACUGUAGUUGGAGGUAAUACUUUUAAUAAACACAACCCUAACAACUCGA